rnacentral:lncRNA from 1 species
AUGUUCGGCUUAUUUCCUCACCAGGUGGCAGCACUGCCUUCUUUGGACACAGAAACUGUGGCGGCGAAUGCGCCACUGUGUUUUGCACUGUGUGGAGUACGUGCGGUGUCGGUCCGAGGGACUGAAUUUCGGUGAAUUUGAUAGCAAUUGAUUUGAAUUUUGCUUAGAUGGGUUGUGAAUUUAUAUUCAGCAAGUGUCACAAACAUGGAAAGGCAAGUUUACAAAGGACAGGAGACUUAGAAAGGCUUCAAUUGACGUAGCCGAAGAGAGGCGAGAAGCCGAAGAUAGACCGACUCCAAACGGUGCCCAGUGCAAUCAUGCUUCUGGUGCGGAGCUGUCAGGAUGGAGUCCGAGGAAUCAAGGAAGGCAGAGGACCUGCGUAUGAAGGAACCAGCCCUGCGGAUGAAGUUCUGAGGUGCAAUGCUGCAUUGAUAAGAUCCAGAUUCAAGAGCAUGGAUGCUACCAGAUCCUGUGAUUUGAAGUUACCAGUGUCACUGCUGCUACAAAUGAGAUCAGCAACACUUCCUUUGGUGAAAGUUUAGAGGAGCAAACAGUUGGUGCUCUGUGUAGUCAAGCAGUGGAGUUUUGCACAAUCAUGAAGUUGAUUAAGGUGUCAAUUUUUGCUCUGGCUUCUGGGACACCUUGGAUCUACAUUGCAACCUAUGCUAGUGUUCAACAUUUUGUGUCAUAGUAUCACUGAUGCAAAGCGUGUUGCAUCAUACACAAAUGAGAGCUAGCAAAUUGUCAGAUAUUUUCUAGUGAUAGAGAACUGCAUGCCUC